rnacentral:lncRNA from 1 species
AUAUCGUACGCGAUGACCCGAGGCCGAGUUAAUCUCGAUAAGGACGUUGAGGUGGGUGAGUCUUGGCCGUACACGUGGCGGGAUGGAGAAGGGUCGCUGUCGGAUCAUGUGAGAAAGCAAUAGUAACCGGCGCUGAUGUUGACUGGGGGCUUUGGUGGACUCGCGGGGUGACACGUGGCGAUAGGGGAGAGGUGUAGUUGGUGUUGAUAAUAGGGCUGGCUACAGAGGAAGACGGGGCUGGCAGCUCAGAAAUAACGGGAGGUUGAUAUUUAAGGCUGUACCGUUCACGAAAACGUGUCGCCACAUACACACAUUAAUCUGUUCAAGCCUUUGUUCAAUUUUUCUCACCUGAUUUUUUGGUAAAGAUUUUUGUAUCCAAAUCUACCUUGAAAUGGAAAAUUAAUAGCGAUGGAUUUUGAUUACACCUAAGAAAAAAAAGACCAGCUGUAAAGAUAAGUUUUAUCAGUUUAGAUAAACAAUUUGCGGGUUUAAACAUAUGAUAUGAUUAGCGUCAGAGUAUCACGUAUUUACGGUUUUUGUCACUAUGAUUGGUGCACGUGCGUUUUCCGUAGCUGGUGAUUAAUCCAGUUUUCUUGUACCGAACAUAUACUCUGAUUUUGAUUGGUGCGAGGCUUAAAAAAGAGAGUGAAACUCGUAUUAUAUUAGAAUAGUGUCUUGAAAUACGGUAAAAAUGUCGUAAUAGUUAAUUUAAUUUGAGAUAAUGUAACUAAAAUGAUGACGCUCUCACUCCCGACACUUCUUGGUCAAUCACGGCGAUAGAAGAGGGGUUGUUCAGCUCAAAUGUGGAAAAAAGAAGCAUGAAAAACAUCUCAUCUUAUCCGUACAAGCCUAAAUUUAAGCAAAAUUGAGCUUAAAGGCUUGGAAAAUGGUCUACCCUUGUUGAUAGGGAGGAGCCAGAUAAUAUGGAUUAGCAAGGCUGAUGACCAAAGAGAGGAGAGAUGAGUUGGAUGGAUCAUGACUCAGAAAAAUGAGGGUUUACAAGACAUGGUUGCUACUUGGUCUAAGGAUUCCUUUCAAAAUGUUAAGAACUUGAUCCAUUUGUAAAUCCAGACGAGUAAAUUUAGGUUAUCGUUUCACUAAGAACCACAAGCUGCUAGAACUCGAUCACUUUGUUAUCAAACUCGAUUCGUCCCACUAUAAACAUGUGGCUUAUUGUUAAAACAAUUCCGAUUUCCAUGGUCAAGUUUCGAAAGCUGCAUGUUUGUAUUACUCAUCAUACUAAUCACAUCCUUGUCAUUCAAACCAUGCUUUUCAUAACUAUCAUUUUGCGUGGGCAAGAAUAUAAACACCUGCUUAAGCAAUUGGUUUAGCUUAAUUGGAAUACGUAAUCAUGUUUGGCAGCAAGAGCCACCAGCUGUUAGGGUUUACCUAAAUGUUGGUUUUAUUUUAAUUAUUCGUAUUUUCUGUUCCAAAUCUGUCAUCGAGUCACCAUCGACUCAUGAAUCAUACCUAGACCAUUCUUCAAUACACACACACACACACACUUGUACAAUAAUAGAAAGAACAAAGUUUGUAUAAUUGAGUUUAGAUGGAGAGUGAGAAUACCAAGUUUGAUAUCGACCUCUAUAAAAGAAAUAAAAUGAAUAAUUGUCAAAUUUUUUUUCCAUAUUAUUGUAGAGGAUUUGAUGCUUUAUGGGUUAACCUGUUAAGUUGUUAUCCUUUGGAAUUUGCUAGCUUCCCAAGUAUAUAUCAAGUUGCAUUCUAGCUUUGGAAAUGGUGGUACCACCUUAAUUGGUUCUGGUUUAGGUUUGGUGUUUUAGAAGGGUAUAAUGACUAGCUAGCUAGUUAAGAUGAUCAUCGUUUUGCUAUGUACCAUUAUCAGACAUUGCAGUAGAGCUUAGUUAUUUCGCGUCAAAGUAUAGUGCAAAAUUUAAAAGUCCCAUAUUGUCUAUCAGAUACAAAUUCCAAAUCUCAAAUUUUCAGCUGUGGCCAAUGCGAGCUGUCUAACGUCUCUAACCAACCAUUAGCUAGCGGAAGAUGUUUAGUUAUCAAGUUGAAGUAAUGGUUCUGAAAAAUUAUAAACGCACAUUACAGCUAAAAAGACUCUGAAUAAUAUAAAUUCUUGGCGAUAUUAUCUAACGGACCACUAACUUGUUCGAUGGGAGACAAUUAUAUUUGAUCCACACAAUUCUAAACAAUUCCACCAAAUAACUAGAGGCAUAGGACAGAAGGAACCCCCUAAACUUAGAUCCACAAGAAUAAGAGCUUCCUUCAUGCUAGAAGCCUAGCUAGAACCAAUAUGCUUACUGUCACUCUUUUCAGUUCUUGUACUUGACUAUAACCAAAAAAAGAAGAAAUCCAAAUGCUUUUCUCUUAUCUUGAUAUGGAGAUCUCAUAUAUGCUCGAUCCGACAGCUUUGCCAAACAAGAUCUCAUAUAUGCUCGAUCCAAACACUCCCACAUCUUCUGCAUAUCGUGUUUUCCUGAAGUUCAGUCAAGAACAAGAUCAUGAUUCAUGAAGUAGACUCUUCUGGUUGACAAUGCUCAAUGAACUCGAGGCAAACAGCAACUCUACUGCUAGUUUUUGUAUAGAAUCCGAUGUUUGAGUACACAAUGCUUUAUUCCUUUUGUCAUUUGCACUUAACCAUGUAACUUGUGUAUUUAAAAGUGACCACAGCAAUAUCGUAUUGAAGGAACCUCAGUCCUUUUUUUUUUUUUUUUUUUUUUUUUUUUUUGUGGCAAUAAUUGUAGCUGCAUUAUCGAUUGGGAAAAACAAUGAUUGUGAAACUAUUUUCCUGAUCGUCGAUGGCAUAUAUUCCCUAAGAUAUACAUGUUUUAUUCUUGCAGGUUUGGCCAAAGUUUUUGCUAAACGCAAUAUUGCUUCAAAGAGAACUGUGAAGCAUGCAAAUACGUCUUCUUCUUUUUUUAAUAGGUAAAGAAAAUAACAAGCUAUACAGUGGCUCUGUAUAAAUGGAAUUGCUGAUAUAUAAAAGCUAUAUAAUAAGCUAAGCAAGAACUGCAUAAUGAGUCUGAUGAGUUGUAAGAAGUGAGAAAAGCUCCAGUUCGAUUUAGUCUUUAUAUGACUUACGACACCCUAAAGAUCUAGUUUGGUUGAGUUUUAUUUUUAUUUGCUCAAUCAACAUCUAACAGUACAUUACUUAUAUUAACCAUCCUGAUAGAGAAAAUUCAUGAAAAAGCAAUGACUGAUUGAUAAAAGAGUUGUUCAAUCAACGAAAAAGGCUGUGAGAUAUUAAGUAGAGUUUUGUGGUUAAGAAAUUUCUGGGUUCAAAAUAGGCUCUCGUCCACAAUCAUACUCUCAUAGUCUCAUUGUCACUAUCUAACUGACGGAUGCUUCUAAAAGCUUAAGACGCAUAUGCUGUAUGUAACUAGAGUCAUAGAGCAAAUAGCAAACCAUACAGUAAUCACUGGCUUGUGUUAAUAACUUAAUAUCAGCAGUUAAAUGGGAGUUCAAGAAUCCUGUAAGAGAAAACUUGUGAAUAAUAGACAAUGAACUUUUAUCCAUCAUUUCACCAACAAGAAGGGGUUGAAAAUUGAAUCUUCCAAAGUUAAAUUUUGUGGUUAAGAAAUCUCUGGGUAAAAUUAGCAUCUCCUUAUCCAUAAUCAUACAUGAUCUAUUUAGUAAUAACAGAUGCACUAACUAAAUGUGUUCACAAUAAACUCCAAUUGUGCUUUUGUGUUUUUGUUCUUUACAGUAAUGCUAAUGCUGUUAGCACAUGCUACCAAGCGCAUGCCUUACCAAGCCUCAUUUUAUGCACUCUACACAAUCCUUCAUUCAAUUAUCAGUAUCUCAAGAUGUUUGUAAAAGAGUGCUCAAAGAAGUCCAUUCAUGUUUUCAAGUUCUUAAUCAAUUAACAAUGCAACAACUGAGAACUAUAAUCAAAUGUAUUCCAAACAUAAUCAAUUUAAAGCAGUGUGAUUCCCUCAGCCUCUCAAAUGCAGCAGUACGUCCUCCCUAAUACUGAGCCCCUUCAUAUUCCUCAUCUUCAAUGGGAACUUAUAGGCAAUAUCAUAUCAGACUGAAGAGAAACAAUCUCCAUAUCUACCUAAGCAAGAAACAGAACUGUUCUUAAACCCAUCUCAUACUGCCUAUCAAUAUAUGGAGACACAAAAAACAAUACAGGGAAUGAGAAAUAUGAUUCGAUGAAAGGAGAAUACUGAACAUCAGUUUAUCAAAACAGAUAACAGCAUUAACUGGUCCUGCUACCACCAGCAGAGCUAUAAAACAUGAGAACCUCCUAAAUUCCACGGACAUUGGUAACAGAACUGUCCAGUUCAUUUUGUUGUCCACUCAUCAGCAACAGCAAAUUGAAUGGCCGAAAUAUGUUAAAAGUACAUUUUUUCCUAGAGUUUAAAUCUACAGUAUUCCCUUCAUAACAAACUAUAGAUUGUCUAGGUAAAAAGUGCAUUUUGUCCUAGAGUUCAAAUCUACAGUAUCUCCUUCAUAACAACUACAGAUUGUUAUAGGACCGAGAUAUCUUGAAGUAUUUCUUAAAACAUGUAUGAAGGUUUUCCAACAGACAAAUUUCUCUCAAAACUCAAAAGACAAGUCAGCCUUUAAAUGCAUGCUUCUAUUAAAUGAAAAACUCACAACUGAAAGUGAAGGGCAACAGUUGUUUACCUCAAUGUCAUCCAACAUCAUUCAUCAAAUUCAAGAACAUCUUACAAUAUAGUAACUAGAUGAAAAGGUCAAAACCGAAGGAAGAAGUAAGAAACUCAUUGCAUUAAAGCUUACUUGAAAUUUGAAACACAUCAAGUAUAAGCUUACUUAACAAUAAUCUUACAUCGCCCUUUAAGAAGGGCAAAUCUAAGUCAUUGACCCAAUGUGCAUAAUAUAUCCUUCAAAAAGGUACUCUACUUCUGCUAAAUAGACCACCAACAAGAAAAUAGUGAUCAGGAGAACAUACCAAAAUGGCUGUUCAUUUGCUGGGAUGCCUAAUUGUUAAUUAUUCUCCGCAGAAUCACUGUCCUUGCCUUCCUUAUAUUGUGGCCACACUUAUCAGCGUUUUGGCUUAAACUUUCGAUGGUUUCCAUAAAAGUUUCCAGCUUUUUGUUGAUCUCAAUCAUCACUAUCUUCACAGCAUCUUCUUCUCUAAUAGCAAAGUCAGCAUUCUGUAGCAGUGCCUCAAUCUCGAUUUCCAAUUUCCCAACAAGCACCCUGAUGUUGUUCAAGUCCGUCAUUGUAAUCAUACUUCCAACCUGCAUUGAGCUUAUAAUCUCCCUCUGUCCUUUCAGAGCCCUCUCAUAGCGGCUCCAAAGCAUAUUACACCACUUCCCGACAGAACCUAUCGGAACAGCCAGUGCACCUGCCAAGGCGGUUACAAGUGGCGGUGCAGCAAUGGCAGCUGCCACCACCGAAAAUAUCAAUACAGACACAAAAGUGGCAACAAAAAUAACAUUUGACACUUUCCGCCAAGCUUUCACUGAUUUCAACUUCUUAUCAAGCUUUCUCUUUCGGACUUGCAAUUUCUGGAGCAUUGAUGCCUGUUGGUUAUACACUGCCUGAAAUAGUACAAAAAACUCUUCCGUGAAAGGGUCCCCGGCUGCCUUAAAUGCCCUCAACUCCUGCAAUGUUCUCACACAUCCCUUCCCGUCGAAACCAGCUUCUACUUCUUCCUCAAACCGCCUCACCGCAGCCUGAAUUAUCAACUGAUUGUUCACUGCACGCUUGAGACAUCUCUCGAGGGCAGUGCAGAAGUCCAAUGUCUGCAGACUGUUCUCAAAGUACUCCUCCACUAGAGAGAACAUCUCUUGAUUGUUCCAUAUAUCCUUCUUGCAUUCGAGAAUGACUUUGACUACUUCGUGGUUCAUCUCAAGCAAACAAUCAGUGACCUCUUUGAGUGAGUCCAAUGAUAGGGACCUCACUUCAACUCCAGUGGAAAGUGAGUUGAACACUCGGCUAGUGCGCUGUUGGACAGAUACAUCAAACGAUUGUAAACCCGAAUCGAGCUUACAUGCUGCCUCAUAAGAGCUCAAAUGGGAUGUGUACUCCGAUUUGGUAUUGUUUUCGAUGGGUUGUUGUGGCAGCGGAGGAGGUGGGGAUGCUGGAGCAUCAACACCUUUGUUUUUACUGCUGUUUGCUCCCAUCAUUAGCUUUCAAAUAAUCAUAAGCUCCCAGAAAUCAAAACUAUGAUUUGUGAAUUAAAAAAGAAAACUCCUUUCCUCUUUCUAGUCUUCAGUUCAAUCAAAAGAUCAUAAAUUUAGCAAAAGCUUGUAAACCCAGCUACCAAAAUGCACAAAAAU